rnacentral:rRNA from 1 species
AUUGAACGCUGGCGGCAGGCCUAACACAUGCAAGUCGAGCGGAUGAAGGGAGCUUGCUCCUGGAUUCAGCGGCGGACGGGUGAGUAAUGCCUAGGAAUCUGCCUGGUAGUGGGGGAUAACGUCCGGAAACGGGCGCUAAUACCGCAUACGUCCUGAGGGAGAAAGAGGGGGAUCUUCGGACCUCACGCUAUAAGAUGAGCCUAGGUCGGAUUAGCUAGUUGGUGGGGUAAAGGCCUACCAAGGCGACGAUCCGUAACUGGUCUGAGAGGAUGAUCAGUCACACUGGAACUGAGACACGGUCCAGACUCCUACGGGAGGCAGCAGUGGGGAAUAUUGGACAAUGGGCGAAAGCCUGAUCCAGCCAUGCCGCGUGUGUGAAGAAGGUCUUCGGAUUGUAAAGCACUUUAAGUUGGGAGGAAGGGCAGUAAGUUAAUACCUUGCUGUUUUGACGUUACCAACAGAAUAAGCACCGGCUAACUUCGUG